UUACAGGCACCGUUUCGCCUGCUUUCGCUUUUAGUUCUGCGCUCCGUUUCAUAAUAUAUAUGCAAUAGACAAGAUAGAAUCGCGAGAAUUAAGCGUCGAUGGAAAUGAAUCGGGUAAACGUCUGCAAAACAAAUGGCUGCAACGUUUUUUUUUUUUCCAUCCUUUGUGUUAACAUUUCAGCUUCCUCCUUUUCACAACCGUCUUUUUGCAGGGUUCCUGUUCAAAUCCGCGAGUCGCCAUUUGUUCUUUUGCACAUUUGAAAAUAUUUAAUAUGGCGAUCCGAGAACUGCUUACUUUAUCUUGCGGUGAAAAGAAACGGUGGCCAUCCUCGCUGCCGAUGGGGAGACCCCUCCGUAUUAGGGGGAUCGUUGCGUUUGCGCACUAGGCCUAGAUCGUUCAAAUCAGACGGAGCUGCUGGUGUAGCGCAGCUGGGCGUUACCAACCGCCCUGGAAAAACUGAGGUGACGUCUGAAGGCAAUUUAGAUGCGUCAACUCAUCAGAUGCACAUGCACUGAACGCCACUCGGCUGUGUGAUUACAGUGAUGACCACCAGAAUUUCGUGGGACAGAAGUGGCACCCGGUGUGGUCCUCUGCUGCUGUGGCACAUCUACUUCAAGCUUCGACGUGGUCCAACCAAAGUGAGGAAUCAUCACGCCACAUCCGCAACCCGAUGCUCAGUGACGUCUGAGAGGUGCCGUGAGCCAGGGCCGUGGCAGUGGCCUGAGUGUAGUAACUAGUUAAAUUACAAGUAGUUAUUGCCACAUGUUACUUUGUCCACCAAUCAUGAGAAACGUUUAGCGUCCAAUGCACAACAACAGCUAAUGCUAAUUAGAGAGCGGACCAGCACGAAGCUUUUAAACCCUUGAGACAUGCCUGUUUGAAUUUGUCUGAACAGAAGAGGUGUAUUAUAACACGAUGACAUAAGUUGGGUACACAGAACACUCUUUGCAAUAAGUUAGUGCUGCCAAUGACAAUGUUCCUCCAAUUUCUCCUAUUGCUAAUGCAUUUGUUGUCAACAUCGUUGCUAACAUUGAUUAAACCAACAUCAGCUGACAGUAGAUAACCCUUAUUCUGUCCGAACUGUGACUAUUUUGUAUUUAGAAGCGGAAGAUAUUACAUAUGUCCAUGAAUUUUCUAGUAUAAAUGCUACAUUAAACAAAAUGUUAAGCAUCAUAGUUGCCAUUAAUUAUUUCAUAGAAAUCUUAAAUGAUGAGUUUUUGUGACGCACACAGAUCUACUUGCAUGAAGACGUUAAAGCAAACGCCACAAAAAUAAUUCAGCCCUUUUUUUUCGUCAAAGCGCUUAGCUGAAAUGUUUUGCUCAUCAGCCACAACAGUCCUCUAGAUUUCCCUAUAGGAGGGGUGGGCUCCAACAGCCCUGCCGUGAGCAGUGUUUGGUGUGUUGCGGAGACCUGUCAACAGGUGGACUUCGGGGACCACAGUGCGCCUGUGCCACUAGGAGUACGAGGAGGAUUGCGAGUCACUACAACGAAAGAAGAAUCUGGAGUUGUUGUCGUUAUUUUUAUAUCUUAUGAUGCAAUUCUGUUACUGGUCCUACCCCUUGAGAUCGAAGUGGGUUGAAUGUUGCCCUCUAACUAAAAAUGACCCCCCUGGUCCAGAGAGAGUGCGAGAGUGAGUGAGUGAGAAAUGUUACUUUGAUAUAAACGUGAAUAUAUUUGUGUGUUUUUUUUUUUUUUUUUGUUUUUUUUUUUUUUGUUUUGUUUUUUGUAUGUAUUUAUUUUAUGUUUGAUUUAGUUUAUUUACAUGUUUUAAUUUUCAUUGGUUCUGAAUGUGAUUUGACACUACGUUUGUUUCCAAAUUGACUUGAAAAAUGUCAGUAAAUGAAAAUUAGCAGUGA